rnacentral:rRNA from 1 species
AUUGAACGCUGGCGGCAUGCUUUACACAUGCAAGUCGAACGGUAACAGGCCUUCGGGUGCUGACGAGUGGCGCACGGGUGAGUAAUGCAUCGGAACGUGCCCAGAGGUGGGGGAUAACGCAGCGAAAGCUGUGCUAAUACCGCAUGUGAUCUGAGGAUGAAAGCGGGGGACCAGGCAGCAAUGUUUGGCCUCGCGCCUUUGGAGCGGCCGAUGUCAGAUUAGGUAGUUGGUGGGGUAAAGGCCUACCAAGCCGACGAUCUGUAGCUGGUCUGAGAGGACGACCAGCCACACUGGGACUGAGACACGGCCCAGACUCCUACGGGCGGCAGCAGUGGGGAAUUUUGGACAAAGGGCGCAAGCCUGAUCCAGCAAUGCCGCGUGCGGGAAGAAGGCCUUCGGGUUGUAAACCGCUUUUGUACGGAACGAAAAGGCUCUGGCUAAUACCUGGGGCUGAUGACGGUACCGUAAGAAUAAGCACCGGCUAACUACGUG